GUUAGCAGAUAUUCAAAGCUUGGAGAAAGAUGGUCUUUUUGUUCCAGGUUUAGGAAAAGUUGCCAAAGGGACUGUGGUCUGUGUGGUGGCUGAUAAUUUGGGGGCCCAUUCUGUGCCAGGAUUUGUCGAAAACUUCACAGGAUCAUACAUUUGUCGGUUUUGUCGAAAACUUCACAGGAUCAUACAUUUGUCGGUUUUGUCUUGGGGACCGAUCUGAAUUUCAGGCUAAAGAAGUAAGAUCUGGGUUUUUUCAAUGGAGAACCAAAGAGCAGCGUACACUGCAUGUCCAGACAGCUGUGUCUUCAACAAAUCAGACACAUUGUUAUGGUGUGAAAAAGCAGUGUGCACUGUCAGAAAAACUUGACCAUUUUCAUGUAACAUCUGGUUACCCUCCAGAUGUUUUACAUGACCUUCUGGAGGGCAUUGUUCCACGGGAACUGGCUUUGUCAUUUGAAGUCUUGAUCAAGAAGAAGUAUUUUUCUCUCAUGGAACUGAACAAUGCAAUUUGUCAGUUUCCGUACAAGUGGAGUGAUAAAACAAAUUGCCCUCAUCUGGUACCUGGUAACUUUGCCAUUCGAAAAUCAUUGGGAGGCAAUGCACAUGAAAAUUGGUGCUUAUUGCGUCUGCUGCCUCUAAUAAUAGAUUUAAAAGUACCUGAACAUGAGCUUCUCUUUAGAUGUACUUCAGGAUAACUUAAAGGACUUGGUGAAGUGCAGAUUCCCAGCUGUCACAGCAGUGCAUGCAGCUAAUAAUGUGUGCUAUUUAGGCACAAGCUAUGCAGUUGGAAUGUUGGUGUGUUGUGGUUCCACUGCAGGUUUACCUGACUUUGCAGAGGUGUUGCAGAUAAUGGUGAUUUGUGGCAAACUGACCUUUUUUGUCAGACUACAAAACGCAUGGUACAAUGAACAUCUUAGGAGCUAUGAGUUAGAAAACACACGCACGGUGCAUUUACUCGAGCAAAGAGAACUUCCAGAUUUUUACCCUUUGGCUGCAUACGCUCUAGCAGGAAGACGAUUGGCAACUUUGAAGCACCACAUUUGGCUCUCCUUUUAGGUAUGACUUAAAUUUUUGCACCAAUGUGUGUGAAGGAUUUGUUUUAAAUGUAGUCAAUAUUUAUUUAUUUGUUUCUGAUACAGCUUCCUCUUGUUGAGAUGGGUACCCCAGCAAAGCUGCGGAUCAUUUUGGAAAUGAUGACAUUCGCAAACUGGUCCUACAUUCAGGCAUCCCCACUACACUUCAGGACCUUACUGAUGUUAUUCAAGAGACAUUUCAUAUUUCAGGGUCAUUUACUUUUUAUUUUCAUUUACAGGUUUAUUUCAGGGUCAAGACAUGGAUUUUGGUGGCCAGUUUUCACUUUGACCUCAAUUGAAGACGUAGAAGACAAGGCUACCCUAAAGCUAGUAAUGACUCUACCACUUACCAUAACUCUCAGUCCCGUGGAACCAUCAGAUGCUGAAUCCCUGGUACCACAACAAUCUUCUGAUACAAGCUCUUCCCAAUCAUCUGGGUCUCGGGACACAAUCCUGUUGUCUUCUUCAGAUGAAAGCGGAACAUCAUACAGGUCUCAGCCAUGGCCGGCUGAGUUUGAAAUACAGACCUUUUCUUAUGUUGUAGACAUUGUGCUGGAAGCAGGAAACCAAGCCUAUGAAAAUGAUGGCACGCUGCUGAACAAUCCAAGAGUGACAAGUAGUAUACUCGAGAGGCUAGCAGAGACAAUAUUUAGCUACACAGCAUACCCUACUGAUGUCCAGAUUUUAGCUGUGGUAGAAGCCUUGGUAAAAAAAAGUACCCGUGCCUCAAAGAGCCAGUGUCUUUUAAUGGCUUAUACGGGUGGCAACAGAGACUCAAGUAUAAAAUGGGCAAUUAUCGGAUGAAACUAAGAAGUCAUCAACGAGCCUUUCCAGAGUUGGAGGUUAACACACUGAAAAGAGGAAUCUCCAAUGAAGAUGGCUGAACCAAAGGCAUCAAAAGGCCGAAGAAAGCUGAAGUGAACUACCUGCCGCCACUGCCAAUUGGGUGAGACAGAGGAAACUUUAGAAAAGGAGAGACUAGAUUUUCUGAAUGAAGUAAAGAAGAUAAACAAUGAAAAGAUUAUUGGUGAGAAAAUGGAGAAGUCUUUCUCCUUUCGAAGAUUAGAAGUUGUCAAGCAAUGCCCUGCAGUUCAAGACCUCAUGAGAGAUGGCCAGCUCAGAUCAAAGAGGAGUUCAGAAGGAUAACAACUAUUCAUCUGGAGCGAACCUUUUUGUCAAAACUGGACACUUGCACUCCCAAACUCCUGGAGAUAUUUCAGACAAAGGGCGGGGUUGCAGGCACAAAAAUCAGACCCAUGCUGGAUUCACUUGGCCAGCAACAUGUUGAAGGCAGAAGAGAUCUCAUCAUAUGUUGCCUAAUGGAGUUCCUUGGAGAGUCGGGAGAGGAGCUGAUCAAAGACUGCCAGGAUGUAGGUGAAGAAGACUCUGCUCAUCAUGUCCUCAAGAUCCUCGUCAUCAGUGGAAAUGCACCACAGGAAGGCUACAAUCCUGCCCAGGUGUCAGUCAUCGUCAAGGGAAAACAGGUUCUGGAUGACUGCAAAACCGUGGCAAAGGCUUGCCUUCUGCUCAUGGGCUUAAUCUUCGCCAUGAACUUGAGUUACCCACCGAAACUGAAAUACACAUUUGAAGUGUUUCAUAAGCUUUUUCUUGAGCUGGAUGUUCUGAAAAUGUCGCCCAAGGUUCGGUCUUUGCAAAAUAAACUGCUAAUGUGAGUGUUUCCACAGUGUACAUAUGCUGUUCUAGCAUAUAGCUGUUUGUCUGAUGUGUGGAAGCAGUACAUGAAGCUUGUUGUUGAAAGAUUUCGCUGUUAUGCUUAAAAGUUACACUUCAGAACAUUUUAUUGUCUUUUACCUGUAAUUGUUUGCAUUGUUGUGAAUGCAAACAUUAUGUACAACCCAUGUCUUCCAGGGUCAGAAAACACGAACCAUAGAAAAUUAAAAUGCAAUUUAUGCCACUUUUCAGAUUUCAAGUGGAGACUAACGAUGGUCUAAAAGGGAAUGAAAUAUUGUGAAAAGAAAUCUGCAUUGAUUCAUAAUGUUUUGUCUGGUAUUUCUAACCACACUAAUCACUGCUGGAAAGUGUAAUAAAGAUGUUUGAAAGUAUGUUUUCAUUUCAUAUUUGUAGAAAAUGUGUUGAGAUAAUUUCAUUCAAUUAAAAGUAGGCCAUGUUAAAAGUACAACACAUUCAUAUUAGAAUAGUGGUGUAGGUGGUAGCUUUAAUAUGUAAAUAUUACUUAAAUAUUGCUCCAAAUAAAGUAAGGAAAAACUAGGUAAAUAAUCCUGAAAAAUCAAGUAUUUUUAUAUGGGUUUUUAAGUAGAUACAAAGGUAGUUUUGAGUAAAAUUUACUAUCAAAGAGUGAGUACCUUUUGUCUCUGAGACAGUAAAUCUCAAGUAAUGUUCACUUGAGUAUUUUUUAAUAAAAUAUAAUUCUUGCUGGCAAGUAAACUUUACUUGAAUAUUUCCUGAGUAAAAAUUACAAAGAUUUUCUGUGUGGAAAUUGUUACCUAGCUUUUUUUAAGUAAAUGGCACUCCAAUUUUUUUUCAGUGUAAGGUGGAAAUAAGUGCUGCUGCUUAAUUUUCUUCAACGCACAGUGUUUCUCAGUAUUUACCUAUUGAUAAGCUAAUCAGAAGAAAAGUUCAUUUUGUGUACUUGAAUCACUUGAAUGCAGUUUUUGUUUAAUUUAUUUUGAGUUUGUGAAUAAAAAUUGCUACUGAGGAAAUGGAUUCCCCCCCAUAGUGCAGUGUUGAUUGUGUAGGUUCAGAGAGUGAGAAUCCUCUGUUUAAACUACAUAAUUUGAGUUGUUUAAAUACAUACAUAAAAUG